CCCACACCGUCAGCGGCACACGCGCUCAGCUCCUCCCAGCGGCCGGCCUCACGGCUCACCUGACCUGUCACCUGAAUCACCUCGGCUCACUCUGCUCGGCGUCUCCAUCCACCCUGGUGGUAGUCAAGCACUCAAGCUAGUGUAACGGCGAGUCUACCGCCGCGUUGCCCGACGCGGCCAUGCCGCCGCCGCCCGAAGACGACGGGUCCUCCUCCGCGCGGACGCCGCUCAUACCCCCCACACCUCCUCCUCCCGGCCGAGCGGUGGCGCGGCUCCACCCUCUCCCGCUCCUCGUUGCGGCGGCCUUCGCCGCAUCGUACCACCUCCUCGUCGCGCCCGCGCCGUCGUACUACCGCUCGCUCUUCCUCUCCCUCGGAUCCAACGACACCGCGGCAGCCCACCUCCACGCGCUCACCCUCCGCCCCCACCUCGCGGGCACCGAGGCCAACGCCCGCGCCGCCGAGCACGUCGUCUCCGCGCUCUCCUCCCUCUCCUUCCCCACCCGCGUCGUGCCCUACUCCGUCCUCCUCGCCUACCCGGUCCACCGCUCCCUCUCCCUCUCGGCGCCAGGCCACGCCACCACCCCCUUUGCGCUGGUGCAGGACACAUACCCCGGUGAUCCCUAUGCCGCGGUCUCCGCGGAGGCCGUCCCCACCUUCCUCGCCUACGCCGCGUCCGGCUCGGUCGCCGCCGAGGCCGUCUACGCUAACUACGGCCGCCCGGAGGAUUUCGCCUACCUCGCCGCCCGCGGCGUAGACGUCACCGGGAAGGUCGUCCUCGCGCGCUACGGCAAGGUGUACCGCGGCGACAUCGUGAUAAACGCCCGGAAAGCUGGCGCGGCGGCGGCGGUCAUAUACACCGAUGCCAAGGACUACGCGGCGGGGGAGGCCUUCCCGGAUGGUCCAUGGAUGCCGCCCACCGGUGUGCAGGUCGGGAGCACGUUCAAGGGGGUGGGGGAUCCCACGACGCCGAUGUGGGCGUCGUCCGAAGGGUGCGAGCGCGUGAGCAUCCCGGAGGCGAUGGCCACCGACGACAUGCCGGGGAUACCGGCGCUGCCUGUGUCGGGAAGAGAUGGGGAGGCUAUACUACAGCUUAUCGGCGGUGAUGUCGCGCCCAAGGAUUGGCAAGGCGGAGAUGGCUCGCCGGUUUACCGGCUCGGGCCCGGGCCGGCGGUGCUCAAUCUCACCUACAUUGGGAACGAGACAAUGGCUACUAUUCAGAAUGUCAUCUCAGUGAUCGAAGGGAAAGAAGAACCUGAACGCUAUAUAAUCCUUGGUAAUCAUCGUGAUGCAUGGACUUUUGGGGCAGUUGAUCCGAACAGUGGAACAGCAGCCUUGCUUGAGUUAGCUCAAAGGUUCUCUGAGCUACAAAAGAAGGGUUGGAGGCCUCGACGGACCAUCAUCUUGUGUAACUGGGAUGCCGAAGAGUAUGGACUGGUUGGAUCCACUGAAUGGGUUGAAGAGAACAGGGCUAUGCUAACUUCAAGAACUGUUGCUUACCUGAAUGUUGAUUCUGCAGUGUAUGGUGCAGGGUUUUAUGCAUCAGCUACUCCUCAACUUGAUGAGUUGCUUAAGGAGGCGAGUAAACAGGUUCAAAAUCCAGAUAAUGAGACACAAAGUCUGUAUGACUUAUGGAUGGCUUCUGAUAGUUCUUCCAUGAUUAAGAUUGGAAGAAUAGGAGGUGGAGGAUCAGAUUAUUCUGCCUUUGUUCAACACAUUGGUAUCCCUUCAAUUGACAUUUCUAUGGGAUCAGCUAAUUACCUUGCUUCGUUCAAUCUAAUGGAGCCCAACACGCAUGAUCAACCAGCGCAAAGCAAGAAUAUGCGGUCUACCAUAGCUUGUAUGAUGACUUUGUGUGGAUGGAGAAGUUCGGAGAUCCCUUGUUCCGCAGGCACGUCGCAGCGGCAAGCAUGUGGGGGCUUGUCGCCCUGAGGCUUUCCGAUGAGGAGAUCCUACCCUUCAACUACAGCACUUAUGCUGUAGAGCUUGAGAAGGGUGCAAUCGAUAUAAAUAAGAGAUUGCUGGGAGUGCCUGUCAGCUCAUCUCCCCUGCAAAAGUCAAUCGCCGAGUUCAAAAGGGCAGCUCUACAAAUGGAUUCUGAAAUGAAGGCCUUACAGACAAGGAAAGUUUGGAACCCCUGGAGAAACAAUCCCCUGAAGGUCAGAGAUCUCAAUGAGCGGUUGAUGAUGACGGAGCGAGCAUUCACCGAUCGAGAAGGACUAUCUGGGAGGCCAUGGUACAAACACCUGAUUUAUGCACCAUCACUGCAUGAUGAUUACGGAGCGCAGGUGUAUCCAGGUGUUGAUGAUGCCAUUCAGAUGGCAGAGAGGACGAAUACGUCCGAAUCCUGGCGAUCUGUGCAGCAUGAGAUUUACAGGAUUGCUAGGGUCAUCAACCAGGCCUCGCUAGUCCUAAGUGGAGGGUUAACAUAAACAACUGUUGGGGAAGCGGUGGAAAUGGAACUAUGCUUUCUACUCGGGGGACUGGUAAUCGUUGACUGCGAUAAAUGAAAUGUUCAUGUCACUUAUUUGGAACAAAAAAAAGGAAGAAAAAUAGAGGAAUUUGUGGGUUUUAAAUCCAAAGAGCGAAGGGUGAAGAGCAAAGCUUUGGAAAGUAAACUGUAUCAAAAUAGGACUCGAGGGAAUAAAGGGUACAUGUACCUUUGAUAGCUACAGAGUGGAAAGUAAACUGUAUCAAAUAGGAACAGUAAACAAAGAUAAAACAAAAUUUCGACA